GCGAGUGUGGUGGAAUUGGUAUACACAUCAGACUUAAAAUCUGACGCCUAAUGGAUUGCGGGUUCGAGUCCCGCCACUCGUACCA
rnacentral:tRNA from 1 species